UCAUUGGUGGUGUCAUCGGUGCUGUUGCGGCCGCCGUUGUCACCGCAGGCCUCGUUGCCCUCGGUGCCUACUUCUACAAUCGGAACACACGAUCCCUCGAGACGGUCAAGUCAACUUUACUUGAAACAGGAAGCAAAGAUGGCUCACUAUCUCCGAGGACAGCAAUGUAACGCCUCCACCUCAGACGUUUAUCUCUCCUCCGUUCACGACAAAAUA